ensembl:lncRNA
AUGUUUGGAUUUUGCAGGCACGGGAAGAAACUAAAGGUCAAUCACACCAGUGGAAGUUCUAAAGAACUCUUUUCAUUGGCCUGGGGUCUUGGAAAAGGUGAGGGUUCCUCCCAGGUUAGAAUUCCCCUUCUUCCACACCCCUUCAGAUUCCAUGUUUGGGUCCCCUUCCACAAACACUCCCCUUGUGGAAACUGUCAUUCUCUCCCUUGGAUUUCCCUCCGGAGUCCCCUUCCAAGCUCUCUCGUGGAAGCCUGUCUUCCCCUCCUAAACUCCAUCUCUCUCUCUCUCUCUCUCUCUCUCUCUCUCUCUAUUCCCUUCCACUCAGUGUGGAAGCUGCUUUCCUCUCCUGGAUUCCAUCUUUCUGGAUUAUCUCACUCAGUGUGAGUUAGCUGUUUCUUUCUCCUUCUCCUGUUUCUCUCUCUCUUUAAAUAAAUCACUUUCUACAAACACUUGAGUCCAGCAUUUACUGCACACUGUGCAGUGGUCCCCUCUCUUGUUCUUGAGAGGGCAGGAGACCAAGAUCCUGGAAAAAUGUCCUCUCAGGGGAGCUGAGGGCACCCUGAACCCCUGUACCCCAAUACUACACUUCAUAGAAAACUAAAAUGGUUCAGCUGCUACAACAAAUAGUAUGGUGGUUCCUCAAAAAUUAAAAAUAGAAUUGUCAUUUGAUCCAGUAAUUUCACUUCUGAAUAUACAUCCAAAAGAAUUGAAAGCAUCAUCUCAAUGAGUUAUUUGUACAUCCAUCUUCGUAGUAGCAUUAUUCACAAUAGCCAGAAGGUGGAAGCAACCCAAAUGUUGACCAACAGAUGAAUGGAUAACAAAUGUGUUGUAUAUACACCGAUGAAUACUGUUCUCUCUUAAAAGUAAUUCUGACACGUGCUAUAACAUGGAUGAACCCUGAGGACCUUAUGCUAAGUGAAAUAAGCCAGUUACAAAAAGACAACUACUACAUAAAUCCACCUAUAUGCAGUACAUUCAUAGUGACAGAAAAUAAAAUGGUUGUUGCCAGGGGCUGUGGGGGAAGGCUUGGAGAGUUGUUUACUUAAUACAGAGUUUCAGUUUUGUAAGAUAAAAAAAUUCUGGAAUUGAGUGCAUGACAAUAUGAAAUAUACUCAGCACUACUGAACUGUAUAUUUAAAUAUGAUAAAAUUGUAAAUUUUAUGUUAUAUGUAUUUUAUCAUUUAAUUUCUUUUAAAGAAAAAGUCGUCAAAAAAUUAAUUCAAGUAACAUCUAAGACUUGAAGGUCAUGAAUUUUCUGACUGAAAGAGAUCAAUGAACGCUCAGACCAAUGGAUGGAUAUCAACAUAAGUCAAGAUAGUCAUCGUGAAAUUUUAAAGCACUUGGUUCAAAGAAAAUAAAAUUCUUGGCUUUCAGAGAUUGAGGAAGUCACACAUAAAGAUAAGAAAUAUUAAUGAUUCUGAUGUUCAUAUGCAACACCGAAAGCUAGAAAUUGAACAAACCUUCAAAUAUCCAAGGGAAAAGUUGUUCUUGCAGACAAAGACUCUAAUAAUUAACUUGUUGUGCAUUCUUUUGCAGAAAGCUGUUAGGGGAUGUGCUCAACCAAAAAGAGGAAAUAAAUCAAGGAAGAAAAUAAAGUCAUCAAAUAGAGGAAAUAGAACAUUUUUAAAUAAGCACAGAAUUGAAGAGUCUCAUGGAUUACCAAGAAGGCCAAAGCAAAAAGGGUGACCCUUGAGAUGGGCCUGGGAAGGUCUCAAUGCAGUCAGUCAAAGAUUGGGAUGGAUUUUUUUUCAAAGUGAAACCAAUAGCAACCCCAGUGUGGUAGAGAGUAUUAAGAAAAGAUCUAGAUAACUGAAGGGGAGUUUGGCAUAAGCAUGCAAAAAUCAAUCAAGAAAAUAAUAAUAAAACUGUGCAUAGGGAUAGACAGGUGUUGUGCAUAUUCCAUGUCUCAGUGGUGAGUGAUAGUUACGUCUUCAUAAUGAAAACAAUGAAUGUUUUCUAACCUAAAAUUUUAAGAUUAUUAUACUGAAAGGCGUGGAAGAGGAAAGUGCAUAUGUUAUAACUGGGAAGGUUUCAACUUCCUUACUGGAAACCGGACAGAUUUAAUUGAAUUGAAAAGAAAAAGGAAGAGAGACAGAGAGAGAAAUAGUGAGACGCAGAGAGAGAGAUACAUAGAGAAAGGUCCCAUAGGUACAUAUUUUGCAAAUACAGGAGAAUACACCAAAAGAAUCAUAAAAGAAGGUGCUGCCUGUAAGGAAUGAGAUGUGGAGAAAGAGAAGCAGUGCCAACUCUGUUCUGAACAAGCCUUGAGGUAUCAUUAACCACAUUAAAUUAUUUGUACAAAUACUUUUAAUACAAAUAAAAUUAUAUAAAAUAUUAUAAUAUUUAAAAAGUUUAAGAAAAAAACAGGUACUAAGUCUCAUGGCACCGGAUAAGAUAAUUGCUUUUCAGUGAAAGGAAAAAAAAUUUUUUAACACAAAAAUAGGAAAGCAAAAUGUGGAGAAAACUUCAGAUGAAAUUUUUAGAACACAUUUUUUUAGCGGAUACACGCUUAUAUUCAUUCCAUCAUGGAGCCACAUUUCUUAUCUCUUGAAUUUUGCAUAACCAUCCAGAGCUGAAAAGUAAUUGAGGUAUUAAUGGAGCUUCAGUCCUAUAACUUGUGCGGCAUGAACAAGCCAAUGUGUGAACCAACGAAAGAUGUUCCCUGGACACUCAGCUUCAGAAAAUUAGUGAAAAAGAGCCUGCAUGAGAAUUCUAGAAAGUACAGUGCAAUGGAGAAACUAUUAUGUAUUUUGUUUCAGUAAAAUGGUCAUUUUCAUCCAGAAAUAUUUCUCUUUCUUUCUCUUUCUGCUUUCAUUCCUCUCCUUCUUCCUUUCCCACUCUGCCUCUGUCUCUUUUUUUCUCUCUGCUCCCUCCACCCAAUAUAUAAAAAGUAUUUGAGUCUCUGGUAUGCUUAAGUUGGCAAAUUGUUGAGCUCAGCAAAACUGUGUUAAGAAGUGUUGAAAUAUUUAUCCCCAAAUUGGUUCAGCUUGUAAGCAAUAAGAGCAGAUGAAUGGUUCCUGGAAUGUGUAGUACAUCAUUACAGGGCUUACCCAUGCAUCAUUUAUUGCUGGUAGAUUCUUUAUAAUGUACUCUCAUGAAGUCAGAAAGAGGUAUUGAAGGAGAGGUCCACCAAAUAGUACUUCCAGAUGGAUAGAAUGUCCCUGCCAGGGGAUACACAAAGGCCUAAGGACAGAGGACUCUGUCAUUUUUAUUUCUACUUCUGCACUUUUAUAAAUAUAUUAAAAGUCCAAACAAGCCUUUUUAUUAGCUCUUCCCACACCCAUUAUUUCAUCAGUAAUGUUCAGUGUAUUCUACUUAUUCUGGUAAAGUAUUGUCUCUUUAAUUUCUAGUUACUUUGGAAUAGGAGUCAUGUGGGAUAAGAAUCUAAUUGGUUUGGAAAUUCAAAAAUGUAAUCUUUUGCCUGAUGUUGAAUUUAAAUGUGGUAUUCCAAGUAAAACAUCAUGGCCCCCAAUGCAAAAAAAUAAAAUUGAUGCUGUCGACAUGUUACAAAUGUUUGAGAUUUCCCACAUGUGGGGAAGGGAGAUGGAUUGGAAUUUCUGGGAGGAAAGGUGAACUAUAAAAGAUUAAUAACAUAAGGC